CACAGCGGUAGAUUGGCUACUCGUUACGACGUCCUGUCGUAACGCCGAUCGACUGUACAUCCUGUACG
rfam:Tumebacillus algifaecis strain THMBR28 chromosome, complete genome.